AACGCUAGCGAUAGGCCUAACACAUGCAAGUCGAGGGGCAUCACAUGAAGUAGCAAUACGGAUGGUGGCGACCGGCGCACGGGUGAGUAACACGUAUGCAACCUGCCUUCAACAAGGGGAUAACCCGUUGAAAGACGGACUAAUACCCUAUAACCACAGGGGUCCCGCAUGGGAGUAUUUGUUAAAGAUUUAUCGGUUGUAGAUGGGCAUGCGUUCCAUUAGUUAGUUGGUGAGGUAACGGCUCACCAAGACGUCGAUGGAUAGGGGAACUGAGAGGUUUGUCCCCACACUGGAACUGAGACACGGACCAGACUCCUACGGGAGGCAGCAGUGAGGAAUAUUGGUCAAUGGACGCAAGUCUGAACCAGCCACGUCGCGUGAAGGAAGACGGCCCUACGGGUUGUAAACUUCUUUUAUACGGGAAUAAAGUGCCCCACGCGUGGGGUUUUGCAUGUACCGUAUGAAUAAGG
rnacentral:rRNA from 1 species